rnacentral:rRNA from 1 species
UACGGAGGGUGCAAGCGUUAUCCGGAUUCACUGGGUUUAAAGGGUGCGUAGGAGGGCAGGGAAGUCCGUGGUGAAAUCCUAGAGCUUAACUCUAGAACUGCCGUGGAUGCUCUCUGUCUUGAAUCCCGUGGAGAUGAGCGGAAUAUGUCAUGUAGCGGUGAAAUGCUUAGAUAUGACAUAGAGCACCAAUUGCGAAGGCAGCUCGUUACACGAAGAUUGACUCUGAGGCACGAAAGCGUGGGGAUCAAACAGG